UCUGGUGUCAGCCGCCGCGGUAAAACCAGCACCUCAAGUGGUCAGGAUGAUUAUUGGGCCUAAAGCAUCCGUAGCCGGCUCUGUAAGUUUUCGGUUAAAUCUGUACGCUUAACGUACAGGCUGCCGGGAAUACUGUAGAGCUAGGGAGUGGGAGAGGUAGACGGUACUCGGUAGGAAGGGGUAAAAUCCUUUGAUCUAUUGAUGACCACCUGUGGCGAAGGCGGUCUACCAGAACACGUCCGACGGUGAGGGAUGAAAGCUGGGGGAGCAAACCGGAUUAGAUACCCGGGUAGUCCCAGCUGUAAACUAUGCAAACUCAGUGAUGCAUUGGCUUGUGGCCAAUGCAGUGCUGCAGGGAAGCCGUUAAGUUUGCCGCCUGGGAAGUACGUACGCAAGUAUGAAACUUAAAGGAAUUGGCGGGGGAGCACCACAAGGGGUGAAGCCUGCGGUUCAAUUGGAGUCAACGCCAGAAAUCUUACCCGGAGAGACAGCAGAAUGAAGGUCAAGCUGAAGACUUUACCAGACAAGCU
rnacentral:rRNA from 2 species